rnacentral:rRNA from 1 species
GACGAACGCUGGCGGCGUGCCUAAUACAUGCAAGUCGAACGCAUUUUCUUUCACCGUAGCUUGCUACACCGAAAGAAAGUGAGUGGCGAACGGGUGAGUAACACGUGGGUAACCUGCCCAUCAGCGGGGGAUAACACUUGGAAACAGGUGCUAAUACCGCAUAAUUCCAUUUACCGCAUGGUAGAUGGAUGAAAGGCGCUUUUGCGUCACUGAUUGAUGGACCCGCGGUGCAUUAGCUAGUUGGUGGGGUAACGGCCUACCAAGGCUGCGAUGCAUAGCCGACCUGAGAGGGUGAUCGGCCACACUGGGACUGAGGCACGGCCCAGACUCCUACGGGAGGCAGCAGUAGGGAAUCUUCGGCAAUGGACGCAAGUCUGACCGAGCAACGCCGCGUGAGUGAAGAAGGUUUUCGGAUUGUAAAACUCUGUUGUUAGAGAAGAACAAGGAUGAGAGUGGAAAGUUCAUCCCUUGACGGUAUCUAACCAGAAAGCCACGGCUAACUACGUG